GCAUCUUGCACCCCUGCUGUUAUGAGUUGGAUUGUCUCAGGGGCAUCUCUGCAAAGCCUGCACCUAGGGUUUUGCUUGCUCCUGUGCUGCCAUCAUUAGUGCUUCUGUGCUAUUUUUCAGUCAAGCUUUCUCCAGCCAUUGGUAGGAUUGUUCAAUAUCACCAACGUUUUUUAUGUGCCGGUGGUAUUGCUCUGCCUCAGACUGAGUAUUCAAAGCACCUAGCCAGAGUAACUGCCCUUUACGAGCAUCAAUGUUUGUCUUGUCCUUUCGUUCAGAUUAUAUUUGCCAGCUGUGGAUAACACGACAGCUCUCGUAACACCUCCAACACACACCUGUGAGCUAAGAAAGCAGACUUACCUGAAGCUCAUUUCCAGAUACUCAUCCAAAAAGUCUGUCAUAUCGCGGAUGUGGGUAUGGAUUACUGAUUCAUGAUUCAUGUGUGCUCCAGUUGCUGACUGAUAUAUAAUGUUAUAUUCUUGGACAAUGUAAUACAUGAGUCUGUUUUCUACUGUAGGCAACAGAAGAUGGCCAAGCUCAGAAGAUCGGUGGUUUGACCUCUCAUUCCCUUGACAAUAUGCUGAACCACAAAACAGCCUAAUUUGUAAAGUCCGUGUUUUAAAUGUUGCCAAUAAAGUACUGUGUUGCAUGGAGUUACCCCUGAUUUCUUUUUAUUUUGUUUCAAAGGAUCCAGGCUUUCUUGUAUUUUUUUUGACAUGGUCUUGAGCAAUUGUUCUCCAGGCUAUUGCACUUUUCAAAUCUAAGCUGUGCUGCCUUGUUCUUUUUAGAAAGAAGGUGCUUUCUACGGUGGCCCUGAAGUGCAAAUCACACCAACAAAUUGCUAAACACAACAACAAAAUUGAGAGGCCCUGAAGUGCAAAUCACACCAACAAAUUGCUAAACACAACAACAAAAUCGAGAAACAAAAAAACAAAUGGAGAAUCACAAAAACAAAAUUGAGAAGCACAAAAACAAAACUGAGAAUCACAAAAACAAAAUUGAGAAGCACAAAAACAAAAUUGAGAAGCACAAAAACAAAAUUGAGAAUCACAAAAACAAAAGAAGAAUCACAAAAACAAAUCAAGAAUCACAAAAACAAAUCAAGAAGCACAAAAACAAAAGAAGAAUCACAAAAACAAAUUAAGAAGCACAAAAACAAAAGAAGAAUCACAAAAACAAAUCGAGAAGCACAAAAACAAAAGAAGAAUCACAAAAACAAAUUGAGAAGCACAAUUACAUUAAGAAAACCGGAAAGGGUAGGUACCAGUCGGCAACAGGAGACAUCACUGAUUGGAUGUCCGAUCUGUUCGUCUUUGGAACCGGAAGUUACUCUGCCUGUGGCGCAUUUCGUUUGAAGAAGAACGGCGGAAUGUUUUGUCCUAGCUGUGGGAAAAAGCUGGUUGAGGAGUCGCCGAACUUUUGCAGCGGCUGUGGCGAGAGGCUUUAUCACGCAUCUUGCAUCGGAGACACUUCACUCCCAUUGAGUAAGUUAAUAAGAAUAAUAAAAUGUUUGUUAUUUAUUGAUUUAUUAGCCUAGCGUUAGCUGUUUCCAGACCAUAGCAGACCAGAAGGCUGUUCCACUAAGCGAGCUCAGAAAAUCGAGGCUCAUUUGAAAAUGCACGCAGCUGUCAAAAUGACUGCUCAAGACCUUUCUAGUAGUGAAGGUUUGAGGGCAGUUCUAGUGUUAACAAACCUCGCAGCUAGGGUGCCAGUGAAGGUUUGAAUGGCCGUUUUUAUUUUUUAUAAUUUUUUGAAAGGAGAGGUAAGGAAAUUAAUUUUCUGUAAUGUACUACAGUGUUUACUUUCUUCUUUCAGAGAAGGCAACAGCAGUGUGUCUGGAAGAUUU
ensembl:lncRNA